UGUAAUGUUUGCUCAGGGGUGUCAUAUCUUAUUUGUUGCUGGUUAUUGUCUUCACUCAGGGCUUCGUAUUUUAUUCAUUCUUCUGUCAGAUUGUGCUCCUUCAUCUUAGUGUCAGUGGAUCAGAUGUAGAUGAGCAGGAGGAAGAGCAGAGCACCGGCAUGCCUUGCUGUCUGCCACGGUGCGAUUUCUAAUACUAACACAAGAUGGCACCAUCUUAUGUUAGUAAAGACAGACUCAAGUUACAUGACAGUUAAUGUGCCAUGCAGCUACUCUCACACUACGCUGAUGAACACCAUCUCUACAACUUAUUCCCGAGCAGAGGCAACAUCUCCACAGGGGUCACUUGCCCUGCCUUCCUGAAUUACAAGACAAUAGGACCCGAAGAUGUCAGUGGCCCCUGCUGGCCUCAGCCUUGGUCCAAGCCAGGAUAGCCUUCAGUGUCCCUGCAGUGUUUUCCCAUGGUGUCACCCGGAGAAUGUGCUGCUGGCGUUAUCUGCUGUGAAGGCUGCACAAAGGAAUGCAUUCCUCAGGCUGAAGGAUAGGCUGUAGACAGCUGCUGAUUCUCCUCCAGUCUCAUUUAUGACUUGUGCUUAAUAAUGUAAUAACCAUCUGAAUAUUAGAAUAGGAAUGUCACAUUACCAUGCAGUGGUGUUUGAAGUAUUGAGAUCAUUUAAGCGAAAGUUGUAAUAUCACACUAUAAUAAUACUCCAUUACAAGUAUUCAGAAUUAUACUGAUGUGAGAGUACAGAAAUAAAUACAACACAAUCAAAAGUACUCAUUAUCUCAUUAUGGCCAUUAUCAGUGUUAUAUUAACGUAGUCUUUACUAUAGAUGGCACUUAAAUGUUGUAGCUGGUUGAGAUGGAACUCAUUUGAACUGAUUCAUGUAGUGUUGGGCAGUCAAAUGAUCACAUUUCAUAAACUGUUCUUAUGAUUUCUAUGUAAAAUCUUUAAUUGUAAAGUAGUAACUACAACUGAUAUCAGAUAAAUGUAGUAAAGUAAAAGUAAAAAUGGAAAUAAACAAGCACAACAACUUCAAAAUUGUAUUUGUAAAUCCACCACUGGUACCAUGGCUUUAUCAGUUACUUUGAGAAUGUAUGUAGAGUACAUAGAGUACACAUGUAGGGCACAUAUUAUCACUAACAGUGAUUCUGUAAUCCAUUGAUUAAUCCUGGUUUGGAGUCUUUUACAGUUGGGAUUUGCCUUGAAUUCCUGCUGCCGAUGCUGCAGUGUGUGGCUGGUACGUGAGUGUCUUUUACUCCUGUUUUUACACUAGUCUGAAGGAGACGACAGGUUUGUUUGUGAAAUCUACUGUUUCUCUGCAUGUGGUCACAAUUCAAUACCACUGACAGUGAAGAAUGGACUGUAUCAUCGCUGGCCUUGAACUCAAAGCUACUGAUGACAU